rfam:Corchorus olitorius cultivar O-4 contig18099, whole genome shotgun sequence.
AGGAGGCGUGAUGAUAUUUAUCCAUCCUUUCUGCAUUUGAAUGAUGAAUACUUACAUGCACUACCAUCUGAUCUCUU